CCUUUUUCUUUACCUCCAUCUUGAGGUGGUGUACAUAUCUUGUUUGUGCGUGAACUUUUUCCUUCUCCAAUUGUUGUAGUGACUCGGUGGUGAGAAUCUCGUUCAUUGCUUGUUCCUUCAUAAUAUCUCCCUAGUUUACUAGGGAAAUUGAAAAUCUCAUGCCGCGAUUCAUUUACGAACUUCUUUACGCAUUUCUCAUUAUUCAUUUAUAAAUGACUUAAAUAAGCAUUUUAAACUCCAUUAAAAAGGAAUUGAUUUAAAACAUUUUAAUCCUUUUAAAAUCCAUACUUAUAAAGCCUUAACUCAUGCUCUAUCUCA
rnacentral:lncRNA from 1 species